AAUUUUUGACAAUGGGGGCAACCCUGAUCCAGCCAUCCCGCGUGUGCGAUGAAGGCCNNNGGGUUNUAAAGCACUUUUUGCAGNAAANAAACGGCUCUGGCUAAUAUCCGGAGCAACUGACGGUACCUGCAGAAUAAGCACCGGCUAACUACCUGCCAGCCGCCGCGGUAAUACGUAGGGUGCAAGCGUUAAUCGGAAUUACGGGGCGUAAAGCGUGCGCAGGCGGUUCGGAAAGAAAGAUGUGAAAUCCCAGGGCUUAACCUUGGAACUGCAUUUUGAACUACCGGGCUAGAGUGUGUCAGAGGGAGGUGGAAUUCCGCGUGUAGCAGUGAAAUGCGUAGAUAUGCGGAGGAACACCGAUGGCGAAGGCAGCCUCCUGGGAUAACACUGACGCUCAUGCACGAAAGCGUGGGGAGCAAACAGG
rnacentral:rRNA from 1 species